rnacentral:rRNA from 1 species
UACGAAGGGUGCAAGCGUUACUCGGAAUUACUGGGCGUAAAGCGUGCGCAGGCGGUUUGUUAAGUCCGUUGUGAAAGCCCCGAGCUCAACUUGGGAAUUGCAGUGGAUACUGGCAGGCUGGAGUACGGUAGAGGAAGGUGGAAUUCCCGGUGUAGCAGUGAAAUGCGUAGAUAUCGGGAGGAACACCAGUGGCGAAGGCGGCCUUCUGGACCAGUACUGACGCUCAUGCACGAAAGCGUGGGGAGCAAACAGG